rnacentral:rRNA from 1 species
AUGUCUAUUCCAGUCAGCAUGAGCUUAUCCGCUGUUGGGGUCGUUGGUGCCGUCAACGAAUGUGUCACUUUGUUUCAAUGGGCCAAAUCUGCCGUUCCCUCUCUUUACUCCCGAUGGAGUGGCUCACAGGAGCAAAUUCUCCAGGACCAUGUGUUGCAGUUGGAGAGUGGCCUACAACUCCUCAGGGACACCCUUCCUGCAAUGUACGACCUCGUUAAUAAAGCAGAGUGGAGAAGCCAUGAACAUGUUGUGGCCAAGCUCCUUCCUAAUCUCAAGGAUGCAGUAGCUGAGGCCGAGGACCUUCUUGAUGAGUUUGGAUGGUACGAGAAGAAGGUACAAGUGGAGGGCAAUGCAAGCCAAUCUUCUUUCAUUGACUUCUUUCAUACCGCCGUACAAGGCAGCUUCAACAAACUGAAUGAUGUCCAAUUGAGGUUGAACCAUCUUUCAAGUCAACUGGAGAAUAUGGGGCUCCGUGGAGUUACACGAUGCUUUGAUAAAAUAGUCAGGCCGGAGACCACAUCUUUUCCAAAUGAAACAAAAAUAUUUGGUCGUGACAAGGAACUAAAGCGCUUAUUGGGAUUUCUCAAUGUACCUACAAUUUCAAAACGCAAGAGAGCAACUAGUUCGGCAAGCACAUCAGCAAGCAAUCAUGUUGGUAAUGAAUCGAGAAUAUUGGGUGUCCAUGUUUUGCCAAUUGUUGGAAUUGGUGGUGUUGGAAAGACAACUUUGGCCCAACAUAUUUGUAACCAUCGACGAGUGAAAUCUCACUUUGAGAUGAUAAUUUGGAUUUGUGUCUCAGAUGACUUUGAUGUGAAGAGGUUAACUAAAGAGGUGAUACAAUCAUGUACUAGAAAUGAGGCAACAACUGAUAAUUUGGAUUCUCUUCAGCGUGAUCUCUCUAACCAUGUGAACAAGAAAAGGUUAUUGAUAGUCCUCGAUGACAUGUGGGAUGAUGCCUUAAAGGAAAAUGGGCAGUGCUGGAAGAGGUUUUGUGCACCUUUUAGAAGUGCCCAAGAUGGAAGUGUGAUGUUGGUCACGACUAGAUGUCCAAAUGUUACUGAGGGGGUGCGGACAAUGGAACCCAUUAUAGUUGAAGGUCUGAAGGACAACGUCUUUUGGAAUUUCUUCAAAUUGUGUGCGUUUGGAUCUGAGGAUUCUAAUAAUGAUCCUGAGUUAGAGAGCAUUGGUAGAAGCAUACUUGCUAAACUAAAGGGUUCACCUCUGGCAGCCAAAACUCUAGGACGCAUGUUAAGCAUGGACCUUCAAGCAUCGCAUUGGAAUUCUAUACUCGAGAGUGAACUGUGGGAGUUGAAACAAGAGGAGACUGACAUUUUGCCUGCACUUCGGUUGAGCUACAUGUAUUUACCAUUCCACCUGAAGCAAUGCUUUGCAUUUUGUGCUGUGUACCCUAAAGAUUACAGAUUUCAUAAGGCACGCUUAGCUGAAAUUUGGGCGGCAGAAGGUUUUGUGGAUCCUCAGUGUGGUGUUCCAAUUCAAGAUAUUGGUUGUCAGUAUUUUGAAGACCUUGUAACACGAUCCUUCUUUCAAAUAAUUAGUAGUAGAUAUGUAAUCCAUGACUUGCUACACGACAUGGCACAAAUGGUUUCAGAGCAGGACUGCUGCAUUUUAAGAAAUAGAAGUGACUUGGAUAAAGUUCCCCAGAAUGUUCGUCAUCUCUACAUACUCCCUAGCAGUGAGUUUGAUGAUUCCAGCUUGUUAAAGCUAUGCAAGUACACAAAGUUGCGUACCCUAAUUUGCAAGAAGGAUUUAAAGAGAAAAACAUGCUUUGUUAUGGGCGAAUGGUGUACUAAACUUCUGCGUAUGCGCGUGAUUUCUUGUGACUCCACAAAUGAGUUACCAGAUAAUAUUGGCAAUUGGAAGCAUCUUCGGUACCUUGAAAUCAACAAAGCUCGCCCUCUGAAGAAAAUUCCUUCAACUUUUUGUUGGCUUUAUCAUCUUCAAAUUUAUAUGCCAAGAAUUGCAGGCUAG